rnacentral:rRNA from 1 species
GAUGAACGCUAGCGGCAAGCCUAACACAUGCAAGUCGAACGGUAACUUUUGGUGCUUGCACCGAAAGACGAGUGGCGAACGGGUGCGUAACGCGUAUGCAAUCUGCCUUUUACUAGGGUAUAGCCCAGAGAAAUUUGGAUUAAUCCCCUAUAAUAUCAUUUAAUCGCAUGAUUUUAUGAUUAAAGCUUCGGAGAUAAAAGAUGAGCAUGCGUCCUAUUAGUUAGUAGGUGAGGUAACGGCUCACCUAGACUCCGAUAGGUAGGGGUCCUGAGAGGGAGAUCCCCCACACUGGUACUGAGACACGGACCAGACUCCUACGGGAGGCAGCAGUGAGGAAUAUUGGACAAUGG